rnacentral:lncRNA from 1 species
AUGAUCAAGGAUAUGGAAAUUACAAUAGUGCCUAUGGUGGUGAUCAAAACUAUAGUGGCUAUGGCGGCUAUGAUUAUACUGGGUAUAACUAUGGGAACUAUGGAUAUGGACAGGGAUAUGCAGACUACAGUGGGCAACAGAGCACUUAUGGCAAGGCAUCCCGAGAGGGUGGCAAUCACCGAAACAAUUACCAGCCGUAUUAAAGGGGACACUGCAGGAAACAGGAAGAGAUUGCUCAAGUAGCCAUCUUGCGGGAGGACAUUGGAGAUUGGUCUUCUGCUGAUCUAAGAUGAUUAUUUUGUAACAGACUUUCUAGUGUGCAAGACACAAUUUGUGUCCACCUGUAUAUAGCCGCCAGUUAGUUUUCUUUGUUUUUACUUUGUCUUUUGCUCUCUGUGUUAUGACUGUGUGGAUUUGUGUUUAUACAGACUUUAUUUGUAUGAUUACAUGUUAAACC